UACGUAGGGUGCAAGCGUUGUUCGGAAUUAUUGGGCGUAAAGAGCUCGUAGGUGGUUCGGUAAGUCGGAUGUGAAAUCUCCAGGCUCAACCUGGAGGGGUCAUUCGAUACUGCCGUGACUAGAGUUCGGUAGGGGAGUGUGGAAUUCCUGGUGGAGCGGUGAAAUGCGCAGAUAUCAGGAGGAACACCCGUAGCGAAGGCGGCACUCUGGGCCGAUACUGACACUGAGGAGCGAAAGCGUGGGGAGCGAACAGG
rnacentral:rRNA from 1 species